GAUGAACGCUAGCGACAGGCUUAACACAUGCAAGUCGAGGGGCAGCACAGGUAGCAAUACCGGGUGGCGACCGGCGCACGGGUGAGUAACGCGUAUGCAACUUACCUAUCAGAGGGGGAUAACCCGGCGAAAGUCGGACUAAUACCGCAUGAAGCAGGGGUCCCGCAUGGGGAUAUUUGCUAAAGAUUCAUCGCUGAUAGAUAGGCAUGCGUUCCAUUAGGCAGUUGGCGGGGUAACGGCCCACCAAACCGACGAUGGAUAGGGGUUCUGAGAGGAAGGUCCCCCACAUGGGUACUGAGACACGGACCAAACUCCUACGGGAGGCAGCAGUGAGGAAUAUUGGUCAAUGGCCGAGAGGCUGAACCAGCCAAGUCGCGUGAGGGAUGAAGGUUCUAUGGAGCGUAAACCUCUUUUAUAAGGGAAUAAAGUGCGGGACGUGUCCCGUUUUGUAUGUACCUUAUGAAUAAGGAUCGGCUAACUCCGUG
rnacentral:rRNA from 1 species